AAAAUUCUGAUUCUGGUAUUAAAGCAGUUUCAUUCCCACUGGAGUGUGAGCAGAUGGGAGGAGAUAUAGGGCAGGGGUUGGGAAGGGUAGGAGUCAAGAUGUGAGGUACGGGCAGAAGUCAGGGCAGGGGGUUGUGGGAUGGAGGGGCUCAGAGCAGGAGGUUGUGGGUGAGGCGCUCAGGGCUGGGGCCACCAGCACUGCCCAGCUGCUGUUCAUCCCCAUGGUUGGGUCAUCUUAGUGGGAUUAUAACUGAUGGGGGCAGGGAGAAGCCCUGGGAAUGGUGGGCAGGUCUGGGCAUUAACUCAGGGAUCUUGGUAACUUUUCCCAGUAAUUUUUAAAUGCAAUUUUUCUCUCUCACUCUCACCAGACUGAGCCUAUUUUCUGGGGAAAAGAAUAACGUGGCCACAUGGAAGAGCUGAUAAAAAUCACAUUGUUCGUUUCUCUCAGCUCCUUUCACUUCAGGAAGAUGAGGUUUGCAACAUUCCAGCUGAAAGCUGCAGCUGGAGUCUUAUCUGGCACCUGAGCUGUGCUGGGCUGGGCACAUCAGCCUUUGGAGCAACAGAACUUACCAUGUCCCUGCAGCCUUACUUGGAGCGACCCCAGGGCUGUGGUUACUUUCCAACAGUUUCAUGUUCAGGGCAGGAUGGCAGAAACCCAGACAAGACAGAGUUUUCUUAGCUCGGUGUCUGCCUGUGACAACACAAGGGUCUGCUAGGCCCCCUAAGCACACACAGUGCAAUACACAUGGGGAUGAGCUGUGUGCCCGGCCCGAGCCCAUGGCAGAAGGAAUCUGACCAACAGUUGCUGUGGUGGUCAGGUCAUGUGAGAAGGUUCACAGGGUCUCAGACAGGCCAGAGCUCAUUGAUAGGAAUUUCAGGCUGGGCAGGUCUUCAAGAAGACCCCACAUCCUGCCCCUGUACUGUGGCAAGAGCCCAGUAAACCUGGCUGCACAUGGCUUUAUCCAUAGAAAAAGACAGGAGGAGACUGCGCAUGCAGCAGAUGUCUGUCAGGGUGGGGGAUGGAUCGGUGGUGGCACCUUCAUAAAGGAUGAUGCAGGUGGGGAUAUGGGAAGUAAAACAAGUAAGAAAUAUUAAUUACGUAACCGGUUACAAUUUUGUCAGUGACAGUAUUUUUAACCUGCUGACAGGCAAGGCCAGUAGCAGACCUGGUCUCUCCUGGGGGCAGGGCUCUCUCGUGGGAACUGCCAGGGCUGGCCACAAGGAUUUCCGGCAGGUGGGGAUUCCCAGCAGCUGCAGACUGAUGUUAGCUGCCAGGGGAAGUGGGCACUGCCAGGGACAGUGGGGAGUUGAACUGGUAACUGGCACCGAUAAACAUUUAGCUCAUCAAUUAACCAGUUUGAACUCUGGCUACAACCCAGUUGAAUCCCAGUGGUGCCUGGCAUGGCCCUGCGCUGCCUGGAGUGAUGCUGUGGAUGGACUCAAUGCACUCGGGGCCCCACACAGUGUCCAGGCCAAUUAUCUCAUCUAGUGCUGGCUGUAGCAUCUGAGUUUAACCCCUCAUGGAGCAGCCCAGAAGUUCAGCAUCUCAGUGGGAAACCUCCUCUCCCUGCUGGGCCUGG